UGAGGUCUGGCCUGCCCACUGAAUUCUUGGAGUUUAAAGGGCCGCGGUAUUUUGACCGUGCAAAGGUAGCAUAAUCAUUAGUCUUUUAAUUGGAGGCUGGUAUGAAUGGUUGGACGAGGCAUUGACUGUCUCAGUGUAAAUGAUAUUAGAAUUUAAUUUUUAAGUUAAAAAGCUUAAAUGUAUUUAGAGGACGAGAAGACCCUAUAGAGCUUUAUAUUAUCUGUUUCUUUUUUAUUUAGUGAUGUUUUGAAAGUAGGCAGUAAAAUAUUUUGUUGGGGUGACAGGAAGAUAAGAUAAACUCUUUUUUUUAUGAAUACAUUGAUUUAUGAGUGAUUGAUCCAUUAAUAAUGAUUAAAAGACUAAGUUACCUUAGGGAUAACAGCGUAAUCUUUUUUGAGAGUUCUUAUCGACAAAAAGGGUUGCGACCUCGAUGUUGGAUUAAGGGUAAUUUUGGGUGUAGACGUUCAAAGUUUAGGUCUGUUCG
rnacentral:rRNA from 1 species